rnacentral:rRNA from 1 species
AGCUCCAACAGCGUAUAUUAAAGUUGUUGCGGUUAAAAAGCUCGUAGUUGGAUCUCGGCAAGCAGGGGCCGGUUCGCUCCAUAGCGUUACUGGCCCAUUUGCUUGUGUGAUUGGCGGAGGUUUCGGGGUGCUCUUUACUGAGUGUCCCGGGGCGCCGUCAGGUUUACUUUGAAAAAAUUAGAGUGCUCAAAGCAAGCUUUUCACGCUUGAAUAUUCGUGCAUGGAAUAAUAGAAUAGGAACUCGUUUCUAUUUUGUUGGUUUUCGGAAAUCGAGUUAAUGAUUAAUAGGGACAAUUGGGGGCAUUAGUAUUCAGGCGACAGAGGUGAAAUUCUUGGACCGUCUGAAGACUAACUACUGCGAAAGCAUUUGCCAAGAGUGUUU